AAGAGAGCGACCAAUUUUGUUUGUUAGUUGAUAAGUCUUUGGGAUGCAUAUGGAUUGCAUGUGUGGAGUUUGAUCACAUUUUGGUGCACAUGCGAGGACUGGGUGCUGCAUGUUCCAAUAAACCCUCGACACCCGACCUCCACAGGGUAAGUGGCAGCCCUCCAUCCAUUUUCCCUGCACUCGGCGGCCAGAUCAGCAUAUUUCAGCUUCUUCCUCACAGGCUGCCUCCAGUCAUUAUGACUUUCCUAGCUGAUGCCGACUAAAACACUAUGUGCAGCCUUAAAAAGGUAUGGCAAUCUCAGAAGGAAAUUUUAGCUGCUGGCCAAAGUCGACCACCAUUGACCAAUCACUUCCAUGUGCCAGGACUGACCUUGCCUUGUGUGGCACCUCCCUUUUUAACAAACUCAAUGUAUUUCCUCUAAGGAGCAUGAUGGCCUUUGUUGGCCAUAAUCCUACACACCUCUAGGAUCUCUGCCAGUUUUUGCAGAACCUGAUCAUGCCGCCACCUGUCCUGUCCUUGUGCCAAGGUGGUCUUGCACCCGGCCAACAUGUGCUGCAGAUUUGCUCUUGGGGCCUUGCAUAGGGGACAACUCUCCUCUUUAUCAUACCACAGAGACAAAUUUUCAGGGCUUGGAAGAGUGUCAUAGGUGGAUCUUAUUAGAAAACUUAGGCUGCCCUGGGGUAUCUUCCACAGGUCAGCCCAUCUUAAAGUUCUAUUAGAUGCACUUUCCCAUACUGUCCAGCCCCCUUGCUGCUGCUGACUGACUGCUCAAAUCUCAAUUUUAAGGGUUUGAUCAAGUAGAAAUAGCUCCUUGAGGUACAAUUGUAGAUUACCACUGCAGUGUUGUAGUGUACUUACUCACAAGCUCUUUUAAUAAAUGGUGUAUUUUCACUGGGGAGGAGGUUUUGACUUAAUUUCUCAUGACUCUUUUUCAAAAUUACAAACUGGUCAUUAUUAUCUGA